ensembl:snRNA U6 U6 spliceosomal RNA
UUGCUCAAGUUGGUAGCACACAUACUAAACGGGAAUGAUAGAGAUUAGCCUUGCCUCUGCACAAAGAUAACAUGCAAAUUUAUGAAGUGAUCCAUUUUUUU